CCCGUCACGUACGGGACGAAAUGUGGCCGACGGGGAAUUCCCCGUCUGGGGCGGACGCCCCAGAAUGGCUGAAUCGCAAG
rfam:Haloferax mediterranei ATCC 33500, complete genome.